rnacentral:rRNA from 1 species
CGCGAAAACUUUGCAAUACACGAAAGUGUGACAGGGCUAUCCCGAGUGCCAUCCGCUGAGGAAGGCUUUUACCCAGUCUAGAAAGCUGGGAGAAUAAGGAGAGGGCAAGUCUGGUGUCAGCCGCCGCGGUAAUACCAGCUCUCCGAGUGGUGUGGAUGUUUAUUGGGCCUAAAGCAUCCGUAGCUGGCCAAGUUAGUCCCCUGUUAAAUCCACCGAAUUAAUCGUUGGUGUGCGGGGGAUACUGCUCGGCUAGGGGACGAGAGAGGCCGACGGUAUUUUCGGGGUAGGGGUGAAAUCCUAUAAUCCCGAGAGGACCACCAGUGGCGAAGGCUGUCGGCUAGAACGCGCCCGACGGUGAGGGAUGAAAGCUGGGGUAGCGAACCG